UACGUAGGGCGCAAGCGUUGUCCGGAUUUAUUGGGCGUAAAGAGCGUGUAGGCGGUUCGGUAAGUCUGUCGUGAAAUCCUGAGGCUCAACCUUGGACGUGCGAUGGAUACUGCCGGGCUAGAGGAUGGUAGAGGCGAGUGGAAUUCUCGGUGUAGCGGUGAAAUGCGCAGAUAUCGGGAGGAACACCAGUAGCGAAGGCGGCUCGCUGGGCCAUUCCUGACGCUGAGACGCGAAAGCUAGGGGAGCGAACAGG
rnacentral:rRNA from 1 species